rnacentral:rRNA from 1 species
CGCUCUACCUUCGUUUUUUUGUUAAACUGAACAAGACCUCAGACUUAAGAGCUAUUCGAAUAAGGCACAGCUUAUUUGAAACAGGACACAACCUACGACAUAGGGUAACCAAGAGUGACUUAAAUAAAGUGGGCCUAAAAGCAGCCAUCUUUAAAAAAGCGUUAAAGCUUAACUACCCCUCACUCACAAUACCUAAAGCCCUCACUAACCCCUCAUCACUAUUGAACAGCUUUAUACUCAUAUAAAAGCUAUUAUGCUAGAACUAGUAACAAGAAACUGCCUUUCUCCUAAAUGUAAGUAUAUACCAAAAUAAACUCUGUUGGUUAUUAACGUAAAUGCUAAACUAUAGUAACACCCACUAGAAAACCCUAUAACUCCUAACGUUAACCUUACACCAGAACAUUCCAGGAAAGAUUAAAAGAAAAAGAAGGAACUCGGCAAAUCAUAGCCUCGCCUGUUUACCAAAAACAUCGCCUCUUGCAAAACAUAAGAGGUCCAGCCUGCCCAGUGACAAAGUUCAACGGCCGCGGUACCCUAACCGUGCGAAGGUAGCAUAAUCACUUGUUCUUUAAAUGAGGACUCGUAUCAACGGCACUACGAGGGCUAUACUGUCUCCUUUUUCCAAUCAGUGAAACUGAUCUCCCCGUGAAGAAGCGGGGAUCAAAAUAUAAGACGAGAAGACCCCAUGGAGCUUUAAACUCUCUGUACACUUCUGUGUUCCUACAUCAUUAGACAUAAGAAAUCUGCACACUAGUUUUAGGUUGGGGGGACCACGGAGUACAAUUUAACCUCCAUAACAAAUGGGCUAAUUACCCUUAUCCACGAGACACACCUCUAAGAAUUACUAAACUAAUGCUUAUGACCCGAUAUUCGAUCAAUGAACCAAGUUACCCUGGGGAUAACAGCGCAAUCUACUUCAAGAGCUCAUAUCGACAAGUAGGUUUACGACCUCGAUGUUGGAUCAGGGUAUCCCGGUGGUGCAGCCGCUACUAAUGGUUCGUUUGUUCAACGAUUAAAACCCUACGUGAUCUG